ensembl:lncRNA
CGUAGGGCCGGCAGCGCAGGGGGAAAGGGGGGGGAGGAGAAGGAGGAGGAGGCCGUCGCGGGCCCAGGUGAAUGGAGGAACCUGACAGUUGGGGGGAGCAAGGCGGCGGCAGCGGGGAAAUGGCGGUGGCGGCGGCAACACAAUGAGACGCGGCCUGUAGUGGGGUGCAGCGCCUGGCCGGGUCCGUCCGAGCAGUUGGUACGAACUAUGGAUACUGAGCUUGAUAGAUAGAGUUGGCAGAGCAGAGAGGUGGUUACAGUGUUCCCUUUCCUUGUGUUAUAAUGUAUAUCUGGGUAAGUGCUGACCAGCUGUGUCCCGUCACCUUCAUGUGUUCAAUACUCAUUUCUUCAUAUUGAUAGCACAGAAACUUGGUUUGUUUUUUUCCCCAGGAAGUGGCUUUAUUUAAAAAGAAAGUAGAAGUAUAAUUUUAGUACUGUACAGAACUGUAACUUCUGCAUAAUUAAGUGAAAUGCGCUU